AGUAACACGUGGGAAUAUACCCUUCACUAUGGAAUAGCCUCGGGAAACUGAGAGUAAUACCAUAUACGCCCUUCGGGGGAAAGAUUUAUCGGUGAAGGAUUAGCCCGCGUAAGAUUAGAUAGUUGGUGGGGUAAUGGCCUACCAAGCCUACGAUCUUUAGCUGGUUUGAGAGGAUGAUCAGCAACACUGGGACUGAGACACGGCCCAGACUCCUACGGGAGGCAGCAGUGGGGAAUCUUAGACAAUGGGCGCAAGCCUGAUCUAGCCAUGCCGCGUGAGUGACGAAGGUCUUAGGAUCGUAAGGCUCUUUCGCCAGAGAUGAUAAUGACAGUAUCUGGUAAAGAAACCCCGGCUAACUCCGUGCCAGCAGCCGCGGCAAUACGGAGGGGGUUAGCGUUGUUCGGAAUUACUGGGCGUAAAGCGUACGUAGGCGGGUUGGAAAGUAGGGGGUGAAAUCCCAGGGCUCAACCCUGGAACUGCCUCCUAAACUAUCAGUCUAGAGUUCGAGAGAGGUGAGUGGAAUUCCAAGUGUAGAGGUGAAAUUCGUAGAUAUUUGGAGGAACACCAGUGGCGAAGGCGGCUCACUGGCUCGAUACUGACGCUGAGGUACGAAAGUGUGGGGAGCAAACAGGAUUAGAUACCCUGGUAGUCCACACCGUAAACGAUGAAUGCCAGUCGUCGGGGAGCUUGCUCUUCGGUGACACACCUAACGGAUUAAGCAUUCCGCCUGGGGAGUACGGUCGCAAGAUUAAAACUCAAAGGAAUUGGCGGGGG
rnacentral:rRNA from 1 species